CCCAUCGAUGAGGAUGAACUCAUCUCCUUCAUUAUUGGAGGACUAGACAUGGAGUAUCAACCCAUAGUUUCUGCCUUAGAUGUCCGCACCGAUCCCCUCACCACCGAUGACCUCUUCAGUAUGGUCUCCAACUUCGAUC
rnacentral:snoRNA from 1 species